UACGUAGGGGGCAAGCGUUGUCCGGAAUCAUUGGGCGUAAAGCGCGUGUAGGCGGCUUGGUAAGUCUGCUCUGAAAGCCCGGGGCUCAACCCUGGGAGGCGGGUGGAUACUGCUGAGCUCGAGUCCGGAAGAGGCGGGUGGAAUUCCUGGUGUAGCGGUGAAAUGCGCAGAUAUCAGGAGGAACACCAAUGGCGAAGGCAGCUCGCUGGGACGGUACUGACGCUGAGACGCGAAAAGCGUGGGGGAGCAAACAGG
rnacentral:rRNA from 1 species